GUGAAAUUGAACUCGCUGUGAAGAUGCAGUGUACCCGCGGCAAGACGGAAAGACCCCGUGAACCUUUACUAUAGCUUGACACUGAACAUUGAGCCUUGAUGUGUAGGAUAGGUGGGAGGCUUUGAAGCGUGGACGCCAGUCUGCGUGGAGCCGACCUUGAAAUACCACCCUUUAAUGUUUGAUGUUCUAACGUGGACCCGU
rnacentral:rRNA from 13 species